GUUUUAAUAGCUUAUUUAGAGUUUAAUAUUGAAGAUAUUAUGGAGAAUUAAUUUCUUAAAAUA
rnacentral:tRNA from 1 species